rnacentral:lncRNA from 1 species
AGCCGACCUUGCUUGGUUCACUGGAUGGAUCAUGGAAUGUUAGCCAAAUGGAUGCAACUUGGGUAGCCUUUUUACAUCUUUACUUUCCUGGAUUCGGUCAAUUUUUAGCAAGCUGCGACCCCAUUUGCAGAGGAAGGUAUGCGCGUGAGGGAUGUUAUUGGAACGUGACAGUCACACUCCAGGAUGGGAAUGUGUAACAAAAGUACAAUUUGCGCCCAAGUUUCUCCACUGCACCGUGCUGCUUGUAAUUUGUCUUGUUUCUUUGCUUAGGACUGUAAUAAUGGCUUAAUAAAUGGAAAGGAUGUAUCUAAAACCUUUACAAAAAUCCAUGCUUCACUUCAAGAACAAGGUUUCUGAUAGCAUUCAACUUGAUUAAAACUCGAAAUCAAGUGUUAACAACUUACCAUCUAGAUAAAGUUAAAAGAAAAUGAGUUGUACCAUUGCAAAGAAGGCAAGUUUGCACCAGUCAGAGAGACCCAGCCAGCCUGCAAUUAUCAUCAACCAGCUUCUGUCAGAAAGGAAACACCAAAGAAAAUUAAAAGAAAAGGGUUAUGAUUGUGGAUUUCCCAUUUCAAAGCUCCACCUCAAUGAGCUAAUCAAUGAAGCAAAAGAGCUCAUUUAAGAUUUCUACCAAACUUCUUUAUUUGUUCGACUUCAUAAAGAACAAAAG